rnacentral:rRNA from 1 species
AUUGAACGCUGGCGGCAGGCCUAACACAUGCAAGUCGAGCGGAUGAAGGGAGCUUGCUCCUGGAUUCAGCGGCGGACGGGUGAGUAAUGCCUAGGAAUCUGCCUGGUAGUGGGGGAUAACGUCCGGAAACGGGCGCUAAUACCGCAUACGUCCUGAGGGAGAAAGUGGGGGAUCUUCGGACCUCACGCUAUCAGAUGAGCCUAGGUCGGAUUAGCUAGUUGGUGGGGUAAAGGCCUACCAAGGCGACGAUCCGUAACUGGUCUGAGAGGAUGAUCAGUCACACUGGAACUGAGACACGGUCCAGACUCCUACGGGAGGCAGCAGUGGGGAAUAUUGGACAAUGGGCGAAAGCCUGAUCCAGCCAUGCCGCGUGUGUGAGGAAGGUCUUCGGAUUGUAAAGCACUUUAAGUUGGGAGGAAGGGCAGUAAGUUAGUACCUUGCUGUUUUGACGUUACCAACAGAAUAAGCACCGGCUAACUUCGUG